rnacentral:tRNA from 1 species
GCCGAGAUAGCUCAGUCGGUAGAGCGCAGGACUGAAAAUCCUGGCGUCCCCAGUUCGAUUCUGGGUCUCGGCACCA